AUGGCAUCCUCGGGGAAGAUGGAGGGGCCGUCGGCGCCAGCGCUCCGACGGGACCCGUAUGAGGUGCUCUCCGUAUCAAGAGACUCCUCCGACCAGGAGAUCAAGUCCGCCUACCGCAAGCUCGCGCUCAAGUAUCACCCGGACAAAAAUGCUAGCAACCCAGAAGCAUCAGAGCUGUUCAAAGAAGUUGCAUAUUCGUACAGUAUCUUGUCAGAUCCUGAGAAACGGAGGCAAUAUGAUACUGCUGGUUUUGAGGCGUUGGAAAAUGAAGGAAUGGAUAUGGAGAUUGAUUUGUCCAAUCUUGGAACUGUGAACACAAUGUUUGCUGCACUUUUCAGCAAGCUCGGGGUUCCUAUCAAGACGACGGUAUCUCCUACUGUUCUUGAAGAAGCUAUGAAUGGAACAGUGACAGUGAGACCACUCCCAGUUGGGACAUCAGCUAUGGGAAAGGUUGAAAAGCAAUCUGCUCAUUUCUUUGGUGUGACAAUAAGUGAAGAGCAAGCUCAUUCAGGAAUAGUAGUUAGAGCCACUUCAGUUGCACAAAGUAAAUUUAAGCUUCUUUUCUUCGAACAAGAAAUCAACGGAGGCUAUGGACUAGCUCUACAGGAAGAUAGUCAGAAGACUGGCAAGGUGACAUCUGCAGGCAUGUAUUUCCUGCAUUUUCAAGUCUACCGUAUGGACUCGACAGUGAAUGCGUUGGCAAUGGCUAAAGAUCCUGAGGCUGCAUUCUUUAAAAGAUUGGAAGGUCUCCAACCUUGCGAAGUCUCGACACUUAAACCUGGAACUCAUAUAUUUGCUGUAUAUGGUGACAAUUUUUUCAAGCCAGCUAGCUAUACAAUUGAAGCAAUGUGCGCAAAGAGUUACGAAGACACAACAGAGAGGCUAAAAGAAAUAGAGGCUAAAAUUCUGGAGAAAAGAAAUGAUCUGCGUCAAUUCGAAACUGAGUACAGAAAAGCUUUGGCACAGUUUCAGGAAGCGACCGCCAGAUAUACACAAGAAAAAGAAGUGGUUGAUGAUAUGUUGAGAGAAAGGGAUGACAUCCAUUCUUCGUUCACGACCGAACGAACUAUCACGAGCUCUCUCGGAGCUGGUAGCAGCAGCAGUAGAUAUCCAGUUGAGCAAAACAAAACUGAGAGUCCGGAGAACGGUAACAUAGAUAGCAGGGACAAAUCGAGUAAAAAGAAGUGGUUUAAUCUAAAUCUUAAUAGAUCUGACAAGAGAGCCUGA
rnacentral:rRNA from 1 species